rnacentral:rRNA from 1 species
AUUGAACGCUGGCGGCAGGCUUAACACAUGCAAGUCGAGCGGAGCGAGGGUGCUUGCACCUUAGCUUAGCGGCGGACGGGUGAGUAAUGCUUAGGAAUCUGCCUAUUAGUGGGGGACAACAUUCCGAAAGGAAUGCUAAUACCGCAUACGCCCUACGGGGGAAAGCAGGGGAUCUUUGGACCUUGCGCUAAUAGAUGAGCCUAAGUCGGAUUAGCUAGUUGGUGGGGUAAAGGCCUACCAAGGCGACGAUCUGUAGUGGGUCUGAGAGGAUGAUCCGCCACACUGGGACUGAGACACGGCCCAGACUCCUACGGGAGGCAGCAGUGGGGAAUAUUGGACAAUGGGCGGAAGCCUGAUCCAGCCAUGCCGCGUGUGUGAAGAAGGCCUUUUGGUUGUAAAGCACUUUAAGCGAGGAGGAGGAGCUCUAGGUUAAUACCCUAGAUGCUUGGACGUUACUCGCAGAAUAAGCACCGGCUAACUCUGUGCCAGCAGCCGCUGUAACAC